UUCUCACUUAUUUUGAAUGCUGCUGUAUAUCUUCCAGUGAUCUGAUUUGCUGUACCAUGUUUUCCUAGCGAUCUGAUUGGUUGUCAUGCAUGUCAGUGUGUGUGUGUUCACCUCACCUUCUUUGUAGCUUUGGAACGACGGCAAACCAGCGUUGAUGGCGACCGACACAGGCCCCACCUUUGCCACGGCAGCUUGAAGGGCCAUUUCAUUGCCACUCGGGACAGCGGCAAAAGACACGCAGUAGCCAGCUCUUCCUCUGGACGAAUACCGGCAAUCUCCGACCUUUUGAAGUGUAGCGAAAUAAUUACAAACAAAAAAAAGGCGCACACAACUAGGUUGAAUCGCGUACAGGCAUGUCUGGCUGUUGGCUGCAUGCUGUCAUGAUGUCUGUGUCUAUACGGUACGGGGUAGUAUCUCCCGGAGUCGAUGCCGUCGUUAUCGAUGACGUACUGGAAGGCCUUGGAGACCCAGCCCCCGUCACAGCCGUGGUUCUCGUAGCUGCAGUCCAUCAGAUUCUGCGGGCUGAGGGGCUUCAGGAACCUGGUCUUCAUCGCCAUCUGGCCCUCCAGGGCCCCCACGGCGCUGAAGGCCCAGCAGGAGCCACAUUGCCCCUGGGGAUUACAGGAGACACCAGGCCGUACUGCCUCCAGUCCACACUCUCUGGGACCUUCUCGACCCCCUUGUCCCAUCGUGUGGAGGUCCAGCUGUCGAAGCUGGCGGGGUCUUCCUCCAUGAGACGGUUGAGCUUUGCGUUCACUUCGUCUGUGGUCUUGAGUUCACACAGAAACAAAACGUGAAGGAUGGACCUAAUUCAAAUGUGGUGACUUGUAUCCAUUCGCUGUGAUCUGUUCAGAUAAUCAGCUACAGAUUAGACGAAACACACUUUUCGGCAUGAUUUUAAAUCUCACUAACAAUAAGAACAGAAUGUUAUUGAUGCUGAUUCAUUUCCAAAAUGAAAUGAUAUAAUUCUUGAUACCACACAUUACAGUAUAGUUGUUUCUGUUUCUUUAUCUGUUUUUUUUACAAUUUUGUCCUGUUUCAGUCCUAGAUGAUGAACAUUAUUCUGGAUUAAACGUGACAUAUUAUACCACCAGGUGUGAAUGUGAUUAGCUGUUACAAGCCGUUUUGAGGGUAUAAUUGGUAUGAUAUGUCACAUUUAAUCCUAUCAGAUAUUUAUCGGGAGAUUACGAUCGGGACUCAAUGGGUGGUUUGAGUAAGUGCUGCGAAGGGAACCGGUCUGAUCCAGAUCAACAUUGUUUUGCAAUUAGCAGCACUUAGCUGGACGAGAGCCACACGGAGGCGCUGGAGGACCCACCAUGUCAGCCAGCUGGUUCAGGCCCAGGGUGAAGGUGGAGUUCCCGGCCUCGGCCUCCAGGUUGUGCCUCCUCACCAUCCUCCACUUGUUCUCCCACACGGCCCUUCUGUACACCGCCUCCGCCUGGAGGAGACCAUAGCACACCGUCUGUGUGUGUGUGCGGUGUGCGUGUGCGUGUGUGUGUGUGUGUAGGUGUUUAUGUGUGUGUGUGUGUGUGUGUGUGUGUGUGUGUGUGUGUGUGUGUGUGUGUGUGUGUGUGUGUGUGUGUGUGUGUGUGUGUGUGUGUGUGUGUGUGUGUGUGUGUGUGUGUGCGUGCACGGUGGUCGUACCUCAUCGGUGUACACCUUCUGGAACUCGGCCCUCCAUGCUUCCCAUUGGUCGUUGAGGUGAGGGGAAGCGAGGCCGAAGACCGCAAAGGUCAGGAAGAGAGCCAGUGAGCGCAUGCUAGAAGAAUAGACACAUAGAUGUUAAUGUAAAUAAAAGAUGAAUAAACUGCGCUUCCAUAGCACUCUAAUCUGUGGUCACCCACAGUGUUUUACAACUACUACUCUUCACCCAUUCAGAAACAUAUUCUUACACUUUGAGGAUAAGACCCUGAAUGUAUGUUGAUUUUUAGACGAAUAGAAGAUGUGUCCAAAACAAAUGAACAAGAGGCAAAAUCUCUUUGGGGAACUUAGAUUGUUUUCCUUGAUAUACAUACCUCAUACAUGUACUUUGUUGAGCAGUAAGAUUAAGAGAUUAGAAGCAUGAUUUUGAUCGACCUUUUCUAUGAACCCUUUUUGUCAUUACUCCACUGACUUUCAAUCAAAAUGAUUCCACAACACAACGUUCCUCCUUCUCUGAGAAAUCUGUGUUAGUCAACGAAUCUGCUACUGAAUGGUCUCCAUCUAGGAAUGAUGGACAGAAGUGAUCCCAAUUUACCUUUCUCAAGUCCAACAGAGCUGACGUCUUGUCUUCUGAAUGAUGGAAGUGGGUCUGCGUGCCUGUGUUUGAUUCUCCCAUCAUAUAUACUGAAAAAAAUGAUGAAAACGCAUUCAUAGAAAGGGGAACCAAAAGUGUGAGAAUAAUCAAUUGGGUUAUUUCCUCCACUGUGGUUUCUGAACGACUGGUUGGUCAUAUAUAGUGAACCCUUUAUACAAUGACUGGAAUGAAUCCAACACAGUCCUUAGCUAUUGGUAGUUUAAGGGUUUCUCUUUCUGACUCACAUUCCUUCCAACUACACAUAAUCCAGCUCCAAAAAUGUUUUGUUUUCCGUAGUAUCAGGUAAACAGUCUGCAUGUAUUUGCUACACCAAAACCCAACGAUUAGUAAUCUCUGCAGGAUGCCUGCUUUGCACAGGGUUUGUACAGAAGUAACAGACCUAGAUGGUUGGGCGGAUUGAUGUUGCUCUACAUUUCUAAAUAAUGUGAUAUUUCCUCCUUGUACCGAAAAGGAAAAACUCCUUGUAUAGGUCACCUACUUGAUUGGUUGCACUAAAUCGCCCAACAAUUCCCCUCCUAAUUGGCACCCUGCCUACAUACGUUUAUCUUCCAUAUCACAGACAUGUGAUUGAAAAGCAAGGUGGAUUUCCCGAACCAGCCAUAAAGGAGUUGUCCUGAUUGUUCAGAAUUGAGCCCGGAUCGGUUUGGAAUCCGAAUUGGUGCAGAUGCCUAUUCCUAGAUACAUAUAUAGGACACUAGAUAGAUGCUUGAACGACCACAACGGACCCCCGAUCAGUUAUCCACUAUAGGGUACAACGGACGGUGCUCUAUCGCACAGAGAUUCUUGUUCCUGGCCAUGCGGAUAUACGCUUGCUCUCCCCACCUGGAACCCCAGCUGAAAGAAAGAGUGGAGAAAUGUUGAAAUGUGAAAAAAAAGAGAAAAAAAAUCCAAUGAUAAAGUUUUAUACUUUAUCAUUGUUACUUUGCGUACCACUUUUAAUGUGUGGUAUCUGUGUGGUCUUUGUAAUUCAUUG